CUCUAACCUUGCCUGCCUGUCUUAUUUCAGCAAGAUAGUCUUCAGGCUCUGAGAUCCUUUCCUCUACUUGGUCUAUUUGGCUAUUGAUACUUGUGGUUAAAUUGUGAAGCUCUUGUUUUGUGUUUUUCAGCUCCAUCAGGUCAUUUAUGUUCCUCUCGAAACUGGUUAUUCUAGUUAACAGCUCCUGUAAUGUUUUAUCAUGGUUCUUAGCUUCUUUGCAUUGGGUUAGAACAUAUUCCUUUAGCUCAGCAAAGUUCGUUAUUACCCACCUUUUGAAGACUACUUCUGUCAAUUCAUCCAUUGCAGUCUCACCCCAGUUCUGUGCCCCCACUGGAGAGGUGCUGCAAUCAUUUGGAGGAGAAGAGGGACUCUGGCUUUUUGAGUUUUCAGCAUAUUUGCAUUGAUUCUUUCAAAUCUUCAUGGGUUUUUCUACCUUUGAUCUUUGAGGCUGCUGACCUUUGGACGGGGUUUUUGUGGGGUCUUUUGUUUAACAGUAUGGCCCAACUUCCAUAGGGCUGCUGUGGUUUACUGGGGGACCACUCCAGACCCAGUUCACCUGGGUCCCUCCUGCACUUGGAGGUAUCACCAGUGGAGGCUGCCAAACAGCAAAGAUGGCUGCCUGCUCCUUCCUCUGGAAGCUCCAUACCAGAGGGGCACUGAGCUGAUGCUGGCCAGAACACUCCUGUAGGAGGUGUCUGGCAACCCCUGUUGGGAGGUCUCACUCAGUCAGGAGGCACAGGAUCAGGGAACUGUUUAAAGAACCAGUCUGACUACCCCUUGGCUGAGCAGGUUGGGCUGUGCUGGGGAGAAUCCCCCUCAUCUGGACUGCCAGCAGGCAGGAAAGACUAGGUGCCCCCAACUGUGAGACUGUGGCCGCUCCUCCCCUCAGGGGCUCCUUCCCAGGGAUAUCAGAGUUCUGUCUGAAAACCCCUGGCUGGAGAUGCUACAAUUUCUGCAGGGAGGCCCUGCUCAGUGAGGAGGGAUGGAUCCAGGUUCCACCUAAAGAAGCAGUCUGGCCACGAUCUGCCACAGCCACUGUGAUGUGCUGCUAUGGGAAAUUCCUCUCAGUUCAAACCACCCAGUCUCCCUGACACCAGCAGCGUAAAAUGGCCAACUGGAGUUGCAGUGAUGCUGCUGACUGGAACUGCUUCUAUUUUUUUGGACAGUUUUGCUCUUGUUGCCUAGAAUGGAGUCCAAUGGCACGAUCUUGGCUCACCGCAACCUCCGACCCCUGGGUUCAAGUGAUUCUCCUGCCUCAGCCUCCUGAGUAGCUGGGAUUACAGUCAUGCGCCACCACGCCCAGCUUAUUUUGUAUUUUUAGUAGAGACGGGGUUUCUCCAUGUUGGUCAGGCUGGUCUCAAACUCCUGACCUCAAGUAAUCCGCCCAUCUUGGCCUCCCAAAGUGCUGGGAUUACAGGCAUGAGCCACCAGGCCCGGCCUGGAGCUGCUUCUAAUCAGCCAUCUUGGCUC
rnacentral:lncRNA from 10 species